rfam:Schistosoma margrebowiei strain Zambia genome assembly, scaffold: SMRZ_scaffold0003211
AUUCAGCUGACGAGUCCCAGAAUAUGAUGAAAUCCUCGUCCUGAAU